CGGAAACGCUCGUUUCCUGGUUUUUAUAAGAAAAAUAUUACCCCAUUUGCGCCGAAUUCUAAACGAGUGACCGGAGCUGUCGAUUUUACUUUUGGAUGUUGUCGAUGGAGAGCCUAAGCAAAUGAGCUUAUUAGGGAUUUGGGGGUUUUAGAAACGAUUUAUAGCAAGUAAUAAGGAAGAAGAGUAAAUGGUUGGAGUUGCUGGUGUUGAGGGAGUUCGCCGGCGAUUGCCGCCUUGGAUGCAACCUAUAGCGAGUGCACCUGGCAGCGACCGAGAUAAUCGUGAUGAAAUCCAAGAGGUUGAAGAUGAACUUGUCUCUAGCAAACAGUCUAAGAAAGCUGCCCUUCCUGUGGAAAAUUGUGAAACAAAGAGGAGGAAAAGGGGAGUUAGUCAACAAGAUGCACCAUCUGAUAAUGGAGCUGCUUCUGCUGCAAAAAUGAGUAUUUGUCUUCAGGAAAAACAAGUUCGGGAACCUUCUCAUCGGCGAAAAAGGAAAGCAACAAGCGGGAGGCCUAGAAGGGGCAGGGACAGUAAAAAUCCAUCUCCAUUUGACGAUGACGAGGAACUGACUCCGGAAGAUCUGGUGAGCAUUGCUGAAGAGUAUGUCGAAGCUGAUAAGAAUGCAGGGCUGCUAGAGUUAUCAACUAUGGAAUGUGAUUUUGCAAGUCAAUUAUCGACUGCAGUCUCUCCCAAAGCCGAGUCGGGAAGUUGCCUUAUUACUAUUGAUGGUAACCAGAAAUCAUCAGCUGAUGAAACUUUUGAUUCAACUCGAAGUCCUAAAAUGGCAAACAUUUUAUCAAUGCCAACAGAACAGGAGAUCCUACUCAGGACAUGCUCGAUCUGUUUUUAGGUCCUUUAUUAAAGAAGAAUGUGGAGGAGAAGAUGAGUGAAUUCAUAACGAGGGAUCCGACAUUUUCCGAUGAAUUGGGAAAGGGAAGUCGGAAUGACUUUGAAGAAGAAACAAUCCCGUUGACAAAGAAGAGGUGCACUCUCAGGGACAAGAUAAUUGGAUUAAAUGUCAAUCAUUGGUGCAGUGUGCGAAACCUUGGGAGGCCAACCUUGUAGCCGAUUUUUCUUACAUCAUCUUGAACUUGGUCUCUAUAUUCCCCGAAAGCAAAUCUGCUGUAGAUGGAAGGUUGUUCGACGCUCCCGAUGGAAGAAUCAUACGAGGGGCACAGGAAAUAGGCCAUGGUAUAUCUCUCCAUCGUGGCAUUGCUCACCACCCUAUGCUCCACGCCUUUAUAAACACCG